AAGAUUACUCACAAGAUUGCUCACUACACACACAGGGACGCAAGAUCACACGGGACUUCCUUUUCACCAACUUGACAUCAAACAGGAACCGGACAGUACGUUGGAGUCCUCUACUGUUUGGAAUUGUAGCGUCUCCCAAACGCGUUUCACAGGUUAAAGACUUUUUGAAGUAAAGAGGAGCAUCUCAUCUGAACCUGAUGUCUAUCAUGGAUAUUUAACUGCAGUUCUGUGAGUAUCCCAACUUGACCAUGAAGAUGAACUGCAAACUGUAAGUCAUUAGUUUCUCGUUACUCUUGGGCACAUUGAUGUAUUUUGGCUUCCUGGUGAGUUAACCUGUUAGCUGAAGGUUGAUCUGAGUAUUAAGGAUGUUUCAUUGGUUCAUGGGUUACUUAGGUGUUUGGUUUAUGUUGGUUUUAAUGUUUUUUUAUAAUGGUCACAGGCUCCAAGUUAUUGUUGUAAGCUGGAGUAAUGGGUUGGGUUCUGAUAUCUUUAGUCUUCUUCCCAGCUACUCUCCUGAGCUCUGCAUCUUCAUCACGUGAGUGUUGCUUUAUUUAUGAGGGUGUGGUCUGAGUGAGCAGAGGUGCAUACUGGGAUACAGAGUUGUCUGAAGUCUACAGGUCUGUAGACACGCCCCCGCAGAGGAAACCGUGUGUUUGAGAAACGGUCGUGACAUCAGUUACAUGGACUAGAAUGUUCUUUAAGAUGGAGACAGGGAUUCAGAAGGAGAAACACCAGGGGGAGAUGAGGGGGCUCCUCAUCUCAACGACUAAAACACAACUUCAGUCUGAUGCAGAACCAUGGAACACAUUCAACCGUCCCCUCCAGGCAUCGUGACUCCUCAGGAACAGUUUCAUUUCCAAGAAGGUCUUAUUUGGGGCCAUUCCAAGAUGGAUCCUGCUCCUCAAGAGCCACCCCCCUCCACUGGGUUGUCUUAUGAACAGAUGACCUCCUUCCUGUCCUCAGGCUGACUAAAGCUGCACCGCUUGCUGUGAAGGCCCCUCAUUCAGGAAUCCAUUGGACUACAAAGACAUGACUUCAGAGACGUUGAAUCAACCUGGGACACAUUUUGGACGCCAAACAUAAUCCAUCACCAAUGUGGGAUGCCAAUGAAGAAUGUUGUACAUAAUUUACGUCCCUGGAGACAUUGGUUGUUCUGUUCUGGGUGUCCUGGCAGGAGAGCUGGGGGUGGAUGAUGGAAUGUCCUUUGGGAUGAGGUUUUUACCCUGCAUGAUUGUUUUGCCUUUUAUGGCUGUGUUGUUUGUUGGUUUGACAUGAGGUGGAUGAUUUUUGUGUGUCACUCACACCUGGCAUGGGGUUCUGUGUGUGUGUGUGUGACAGUGAUAAUGGUCUUUGACAGUGAUAAUGGUGCUUCCCGCCGUGGGGGUCUCUUGUGAUUGGCUUGGGAUAUUGGAAUGGUCAAAUAAAUCAUACCUGAUGGACGGCUACACGUUUACUUGAGGCCUCCAGUAGACAUGAAGAGCACGGAGCAACGCUCCGGAGAGAUAUCAAACACACUGGGCAGGAAGGAGAGUUUCCAAAUCAAGUGUAAAUGGAUGCAAGCGGCGUGUUCAGAUCAGUGACUUCAAACUAGGACCACACAAAUCAGGAUCAAUGGAGGAUGGACACCUAAAGGCAUUCCACAAGGAGAGUCUGACGUUGGAAAGGGGCCUCGAUGGAUAUUCAAGAUGACCUUCAGACCUGUAAUGAGACGGCUCUUCCUACCUGGCUGGAUUGAUGGAGAGCCCUGUGGAUCUUGUCUUGCUCUCAGUUGCACGUCUUCUCAGGCUGAACUGUAUUUGUUUUAGACAGGACUAGCUGAACGAUUGGUUCCCUUAAAUCAGAACCUAUCUGGGAACUCCAACUAGUGCGCUCUUCGAGCUGAAGUUGUGCUCUUCAGCUGAGGAGGUAAGGAAACCUUCACUGGGGAUUCAAGAUGUAAAGAGGAGACUGUUUCAAAGUGUUCCAUGGUACUCUGAUGAAGACCGUUGUUGCGUUCCACUGGCUGAGAGGAAGAACCCUCACAUCUUCCUCUUGGCCUUUCUCCUCAGAGUCCUGGCGCCAUCUUGAAGGAUAUUCCGGGGCAUGUAACUGUUGUCACGACAGAUUCUCAAACACUUGGUUUCUCCUGAGGGGCUUCUCUAUAGAACUGAAGACUUCAGACAGCACUGUAUCCCAGCAUGCAUCUCUGCUCACUCAGACCACACCCUAAUGAGUAGGAUGCAACACUCUAGUAAUGGAGAUGUAGAGUUUAUAAGUAACGAGGGAGCAGACAAAGGUGAUUAGAACACAAUGGCAUGUCAAGUCUGUAAAUCUUUAAACCAUGAAGAUGGUUGGAUAGAUCAGGAAUUGGGCUUUAUUUUUUAUGGGCAGUCCUUUCGCUCAAAUGCCCACUUCUCGCUGGACCUGUACAUGUGUUGGCUGGCUGGCAUGAUUUGCUGUUGGUGAUGAGUAGGUCAGGGUGACGUUGCAGGGCUAUGGUCGGCUCUCUGUGAGCUCAACAUUUAGAUUUGCUCUUUAUGGUUUGUACCAUGAAUAAUCUAGAUAAUUGUAAAAUGUAGACAUGGUUUUGUAUUGAAUGAUUCCAUUGUUUUUAGGCAAGGAUUUGUUGUUGUGGGAUGUACAUGGUAGUUUGGUUCUUCGUACGGUUUUGAUUGAUAUAACUUGUACACACUGGGUGCAUAAUAAUGUAAAAGUAUACUGAAUAGUAGUAAUUACCAACAGCAACAAACAGAUCUCCUCAAGGUAAGUCUGUUGGCUGUGUUUUAAUGUAGACCAUCGCUGGACUUCAGGAUCUUCCUCCGUUCAGCUCAAGGUGAGGCGCUGGUUCUGUUUUUUCUUUGGUUGGUUCCGGCCGGAAUGUUCGGAUUCCAGUCGGACGGUUUGUGCUUCCCGCCGUGGAAGGUUUUGAGUGCGGUCACUUGAUUUAGUCCCAAUGGUUAGCAUAGAACGUUGUAGUCUUGACCCCCAUUAGAAGCCACCUGGCAGUUAGUUGGACAGGAAUCUGUCUGAACGUUCUGGAUUGUAUUUGCGUAACCUUGAGCCGUUGCCAACGGAAACUAUUUUUCAGUUGUUUCCAUUGGGAAUUGUUGGCCCUUAUCUUAAACAACUUAAGUUUGAUAUUAAAUACAUACUGACACGUACAUCGUACAAUAUGUUGAUCAUUUUCGAUGGUUGCGCCGUACUUUUAUCCACGUUGACGGGACUCUCGCUGCGUACAAAACUGCGUUCUACUUGCGGGCCCAUUUCUGACAUCAGUGAAGGCUGAAAAUCAUUUCAAGGUGGAAGACAAUUUGACUUUCCUUCAACGGAAUCCAGCACCUGAAUAUGAAUGGGUAAAUUUGAUUUAAUAUCAAUACUGCUUAGUGUUCUUUGGUACUUCAGCUUUUGUACCUUCUAAAUAUCUGCGGUCAUUAAUUGCCACAGAAGUUAUACCCCACCUAAUGGAUUGACGUUAAACAACGACUGAGUUGCUGAGUUACCAACUGGAUAAUAUCAAAGCUAAAAUAAUGGCCGUCCUUCCCACGUGUUACAGUAGUAGACACUCUAGAACUGUACAAGGUUAAAAAGGUAACUUGUAGUUUGUCCCAAGGUGUCCACCUCCUCACCCAGAGCCAGACCUCCACCUCCUGUCACAAGUCCUCCAGAACAGGUCAGUGCUCUUGUGUGUGAGUAGGGGUCAGUUUCAAUGCUUGGCCUGAACCACUUCUUUAAACUUGUGGACUGCUCUGUCUUCAUUCCCAAAAUGAAAUGCUCAUGUCUGGUCUCAAGCCUUGAGUUAUAAAAUAAUAGUUAAAUUAAUUGUGUAACUAGGUUUUGAAUGAGUCAAUUAAGUUUAUUGUUGGGCAAAUGCUGAUAUAAACCUGCUGCUGUAGCUGAAAGGCGAGGCUGAGAGGCUGGGGACCGGAGGCUUGUGGUGCCAGGGUGGACCGGAGACUGAGGCUGGAGACCAGGGGCCUGCAGCACCGGAUCAGAGGGUAACCAUCACCAAGCUCAUCUGAAACACUAAAGCCCUCAGUAGUUUAGGUCUGGUUUUGAUCAUCUUAUGACUUUACAUCUGUGCCAAGCUGUGAUUUGAGUUGAUUCAUACCGGGUUUAUGUAGGAGUCAUAUGAGCCAUUAUUGUUACUAGUGCUGCUAUGACCUUAGUGGAUGAAUUGCUGAACGCGACAAUCUGCAGACGUUGUCUAAUUUAAGUGUUUAAAUAUGUUUUUAAUUUGUCUUCCAUUUUACAAGUGAACCUCAGAUGCAGGAGGUUGGGUGCAUUGCGUCCCCAGGUGAUUUACUGCUGAGACCAACUGUGUUUGUAACCAGACCAGGAAUCCAUGGCUGAAGGAGCUGAUGGAGGAGCAAUGCUGAAGGCCCUGCCUGGUGGAGGAGCUGACGGAGGCCCUGCCUGGUGGAGGAUGUCUGUCGUGGGGUAGAUGGAGCCUGACUCUGAAGUGACAUCACACUCACUGCCACUUCUCGUAGAAUACUGCUACCACAAACCACCGGCGUUUGUACCAUAUAUACCAGACAACUACAUCUGUUUUACCACAUGUUGCAGCAAGACUUCCGCUGUUUGUUCCAGACCAGGACUCUGUCUGAGGAGAGCUGAUGGAGGAGCUGAGACGCUGGAGGACGACUAGGAAUCGACCAACAAGGUUCCUCAAUGUGUUUCUGGAGCGGAGGCGAGCUGAUAGGGGAGCCGUGAAUCUGGAGGAUGACCAUCACUCUACCAACAAGGAUUGUAAGUUUGCAUAAAGUAAACAGAGUGGACUUGUUGUAACGCAGGAUUAGUUUGUCCAGUAGAUGUUAAGGCAUACUACUUUGGUUGGUUACCAAACAAACUACAGCUGCUACUUGUUAUGCGCCAUUAGAGCCCAACUACUCCUGUGUUUGUGACCUUACAUUAGAGACAAACUACUACUGUGUUUCUGACCUUACAUUGGAGACAAAUUAUAUUUGUAACCAGACCAGGAAUCUGGAGGACUAACUAAGAAGCCGUACAUCUGGAAAGCAAAUCCUGAGGACGACCAGGACUCUACCAUCAACGAUUCCUCACACACCUGAGCUAAACCCCACCUGAUCCGGACAUCCUGCUUGUCCCGUCUCCUCAGUUCAUCUGAGCCUCGUCCUCCAGAAGUCCUGCUGAGCUCAGCGGUCUGAGGCUGAUGGAUCAAUGACCUCCAGUGGGAGUGAUCUUCUUGACCCCACAUGUAGCCGUGUGCUUCCACACGCCUUUCCCUCAAGUCUGUCACUAACCUCACUACUUCACUACUCUCUACUCCUUCCGCUUCUUCUUCCUUCUCAGUGGUUCGAACCGUUACUCCGAAGGAGUGUCUCCUUGAACCUUUACACUGAAGGAGCGUCUUCCUGCCCUCAGAGGGUUCAGCGUUAGGGUUGAGAGUCAGGGUUUAGAGUCAGGGACAGAGCUGGUCAGGGAGGACUGCUUUUACACAAACCUCUUCACUUGCUUUCUGAAUGGUGACAUUUUGAAAAGAUUCAUCUGGGCAAAUGUUUUCCUCUGCUUGUAUUUGUAUGUAUAUGUAUUUAACUUCCGUCAAUUGUUUUUAUAUUAAAAUCCCACAUUGACUUCUGCAUUUUGGUGCUGUUCAUUUAAUUGUCCUUUAACUUGACAAUUGUCAAGUUAAACUCCUGCAAUACAUUUAAUAUACAUGAUGAAUGUUAUUCAGCAAUGUUCCCAUAAUCGAUUUUGUAAAAAUAUAAAACAUCCAUAUUACUACUAAA
ensembl:lncRNA